UGCAAGUCGAGCGGCAGCACGGGUACUUGUACCUGGUGGCGAGCGGCGGACGGGUGAGUAAUGCCUAGGAAUCUGCCUGGUAGUGGGGGAUAACGUCCGGAAACGGGCGCUAAUACCGCAUACGUCCUACGGGAGAAAGUGGGGGAUCUUCGGACCUCACGCUAUCAGAUGAGCCUAGGUCGGAUUAGCUAGUUGGUGAGGUAAUGGCUCACCAAGGCGACGAUCCGUAACUGGUCUGAGAGGAUGAUCAGUCACACUGGAACUGAGACACGGUCCAGACUCCUACGGGAGGCAGCAGUGGGGAAUAUUGGACAAUGGGCGAAAGCCUGAUCCAGCCAUGCCGCGUGUGUGAAGAAGGUCUUCGGAUUGUAAAGCACUUUAAGUUGGGAGGAAGGGCAGUUACCUAAUACGUGAUUGUUUUGACGUUACCGACAGAAUAAGCACCGGCUAACUCUGUGCCAGCAGCCGCGGUAAUACAGAGGGUGCAAGCGUUAAUCGGAAUUACUGGGCGUAAAGCGCGCGUAGGUGGUUUGUUAAGUUGGAUGUGAAAGCCCCGGGCUCAACCUGGGAACUGCAUCCAAAACUGGCAAGCUAGAGUAUGGUAGAGGGUGGUGGAAUUUCCUGUGUA
rnacentral:rRNA from 1 species